AACAGGAUUAGAUACCCGGGUAGUCCAUGCCGUAAACGAUGAGUGCUAAGUGUUGGAGGGUUUCCGCCCUUCAGUGCUGCAGCUAACGCAUUAAGCACUCCGCCUGGGGAAUACGACCGCAAGGUUGAAACUCAAAGGAAUUGACGGGGGCCCGCACAAGCGGUGGAGCAUGUGGUUUAAUUCGAUGCUACGCGAAGAACCUUACCAGGUCUUGACAUCUUCUGCUAACCUAAGAGAUUAGGCGUUCCCUUCGGGGACGGAAUGACAGGUGGUGCAUGGUUGUCGUCAGCUCGUGUCGUGAGAUGUUGGGUUAAGUCCCGCAACGAGCGCAACCCUUAUUGUCAGUUGCCAGCAUUUAGUUGGGCACUCUGGCGAGACUGCCGGUGACAAACCGGAGGAAGGUGGGGAUGACGUCAAAUCAUCAUGCCCCUUAUGACCUGGGCUACACACGUGCUACAAUGGACGGUACAACGAGUCGCGAAACCGCGAGGUCAAGCUAAUCUCUUAAAGCCGUUCUCAGUUCGGAUUGCAGGCUGCAACUCGCCUGCAUGAAGUUGGAAUCGCUAGUAAUCGUGGAUCAGCAUGCCACGGUGAAUACGUUCCCGGGCCUUGUACACACCGCCCGUCACACCAUGAGAGUUUGUAACACCCAAAGCCGGUGAGGUAGCCUUCGGGAACCAGCCGUCUAAGGUGGGACAGAUGAUUAGGGUGAAGUCGUAACAAGGUAACC
rnacentral:rRNA from 1 species